UGGACCAAUAAUAGGAAAAUGUCUAUGAGGAAAGGGUCAUGAUUAAUCUGGUUCUUUGUAAAAUGCAGAGGUCCAUU
ensembl:snoRNA